UUAGCUGCAGCACACAUAAUAUUAAAACAUAGUAGAAAGGGUCCACUCCCAAGUCCAGUCCCUAUGCACAAAGAAAUGAUUCUCAGAUAACAUGGCUAAAGGAAUCUCGGAUAGUUCUAUGGAUUCUGCACAAAGGACUGCCAAAGUCACAGAAGUCAGUUCAUGUCAACAAGGUAAAACAUAUUGCAUAACAAGAUCAAUAUACAGCACGGAUUUAGAUAGUGUUAUCUGCAAAGUAAUAAUGAUAACAACACUAAAGGACAUAAACAAGGCAGGAUGUUCCUGGAGGGCGUUUAUGAUAGCUUCCUCCUCCGAGGCUCCAAGUGAUAGAGAAGCCAAUUAGGAGAGGUGCACUGCUGGACCCCAUACUCAACAACAAGAAGGGGCUUGUUGGGGAUGUGGAGAUCAAAGACAGCCUUUUGUGUAGGCCAGCCUGCAGUGAGAUCAUGGAAUUGAGGAUCCCAAGGGCAGGGAGAGUGGAAAAACAAGGUCACAACUCUGGACUUCAGGAGAACAGACUUUGGCCUCUUCAAAGAUCUUGGAAAAGUGCUGUGGGAUAAGGCCCUGGAGGAAAGGUGGGGCUAAGAAAGCUGAUAAAUGUUGAAGAAUUACCUCCUACAAACUCGAGAGAGUUCCGUUCCAGUGAAAAAGAACUCAGACAAAAAUGCCAAGAGGGCCAUGUGGAUCAAGAAAGAGCCUCUGGCCAAACUCAAACACAAAAAGGAUGCAAGAAUGGGUAACCUGGGAGGAAUACAGAAACAUCGUCUAAACAUUUAUGGAUGAAGCUUGGAAAGCUAAAACCCAAAUGGAUUUGAAUCUGGUCAGAGGUGAUGAAGACAACAAGAAAGGUUUCUAUGAGUACAUGGCCGACAAAAGAAAGACUAGGAAAAAUGUGGGCACAUUGCUCAAUGAGAUGGAGUAUCUGGCUACCGGGGCAUGGAAAAAGUUGAGGUACUGAAUGACUUCUUUGCUUCUGUCUUUACUAGCAACACCAGCCUUCAGGAAUUCCAGGUCCUGAAGACCAGGAGGAAAGAUUGGAUCAAGGAACAGGUACCCUUGGUGAAAGAGGAUCAGAUCAUGGAAUACUUAAACAAACUGGACAUAUAUGAGUCCAUGAGCCUUAAUGGGAUGCAUCUACAAAUGCUGGAGGGAGGUGGCAGAUGUCAUUGUGAGGCCACUCUCAAAAAUCUUUGAUGGGAGAAGCAGGAAAGCUAUGAUGUAGUCGCCACCACAGAAAUGCGGUGGGAUGACUCGCAUGACUGGAGUGCUGCCGUGGAUGGCUACAGGCUCUUCAGAAGGGACAGGCAAGACUACUGCCAGAUGUCUCACAAGCUACAUGGGAAUAUGGUCUAUGAAUGGGCACAUACAUGAUUUGGCCACCACACAGUGUGGCCACUUUUAACAGUCCAAGAGCAUCUCAGAUUUCAGAUUUUCUAAAGAUGUCCAAUGUGCUCCAAGAAACAGAUGCCAGUGACUAUUCUAUGACAACAUGCUGAGGCACUUCAGCACCACAGAGCACUAUUGCAACUGUAUGAUCCCUCAUGGAUAUAUUUCCCACUGUCAAUUACUAUUUCAGCACCUCCUAAAUGAUGAAUUCUGUCAAGUUGGUGUGCAGAAGGAGAGGCAGCACCCAAGUCAGCCUCUGCUGUAUUGAUGGUCACAGCCCCAGAGGUAAGACAAGUUGGCACUGCUUGGGGCCAUGAAUUUCAGGCAGAUGCCUCCUUUUCCUUGGGUGGAGACACAGACAUAGGAUCCUUCCUCCUUCCAUCACUGUCCUCAACAUUAUCUGGGCGGUGACAUCUAAACUUGACAUCAUGGCAGCAACAUCUCUAACAUUCACCACCUCUCCCAUCACCUCUCAGGGAAUGAUUGUGCUAUGACUGUUUUUGUUUAUUCACAGAGAACCAGCCCUGGAGCUAUUGUCACCUCAGCCCUGCACUUCCUGGCAGACUCUUCCUCCUCAAAAGGCUGAGGGGUGAGUUCCUCCACCACAAUUCAAGUUAGACAAGGCAGGUCCUUUUCAGACCUUCACAAUUCUGUAGGGCUAUAGCUUUUGGACCUUUGCCUUUGUCUUGCAGAGCUGCUUGUCCUGACCCUAUCCAGACCUAAAGUUCAUCCCAGGCCUUAACUCUCCCUAAUCCCUAUUUACUCUAAUUUUCACUGGCUUUAUAUACAUCUAGUGUACAAUUUCCUAAAUAAGCCUUCUGCUUCCAUCUCUUCUGCAGUCUUCACUAACCUCUAGGCUAAGCAGAGUGGGGUGGAAUCAGUGGACAAGAUUCAUUCUUAUUCUAGCACCUCAUUCUAGAGAUGCCUUGUUGGUGCAGACAUAGUUCUGUCAUGCCUGGAGAGAGCAGGCAGACAGUCCUUGAGAAUGGCAUAGGGCAUGAAAUGCCUCCUUAAUAGGGGAUGGCUUACUAGAGAUGUGUCAGUUGUAUAUACAUGAGAGUGACAUAGGCAUCCCUCGAAGCAAAAAUGUCGGAACUGUGCAGCCUACCAAGCAUAGACAUCCCAAUGCAGGACAUAGGUGUGUUAAAAACUGUGGGGAAGUAGUCAAGGUGAAUCAUUGUCAUGCACCACAGUGUCUAAAAUGAUGCUGGAUGCCUGCCUACUUUCAGUCCCAAGUCAUAAUCUUAGCGUCCUGUGAGCUGAGGGAUCCCAAAUCACCUUACCCUCUAUAUGCCAUAGAUAUGUGGCACUCUGUUCCGAUUGGAAGUGAGGACAGAUAGCCCUGUUCAAGUCAUGCUAAGCAGUCCUAUAUAUUUUGGCUGCAUAGAAACAGCCUCCUACCUCUGGACAGUAAUGUGUAAUUGAUUUGAUUUUCCAAAAGCCUGCGUAUGAAGGCCACUUGUCUGCUGAAUUUUAAUUUGCCUUGUCUUGGUGAAACAGUCUGUGCUGCCAUAUCUUUUCCCUUAGGCUUCCUUGCUAAGAUGGUUGCUACGUCUCAUAGCAUUCAGGAGAAAUCUUCUCCAACUCCUCCACUAUUUAUUUUUAGAUUUCAAUGAGAAAAAACCCAUCUACAACUCUAGGCAAUGACAGCUAUUUGGGAUCAGAAGCAAUGCUGAAAUAAUCAUGCUUAUACACUGCAACAAUAAAUUCCAAGCAGCACUUCGAAGCAGUGGAACAAGCCCACCUCAGAACUGCUUUAUCAGCUAUCCCCCUUUAAGAAGAUUAAACUGUUAUAUUUCUCUGCUGCUGCUUUCAUCUUCCUUCUGUGAGUGUCAUCCAAGCCUCCAGGCAGGCAUAGCUGCUUAUCCUCAUCUGGAGACUUUAAGUCAGGAAAAAUGAGGGUGAGGGAGAAAAAAAAAUACAGACAUAUUUGUCAAUAAGCAGUGAGUAUGUAUGAGAAGAGCAUGGUUAAAAAAUGGAAGCCAUGGCCAGGGACAGAUGUCUCAGGCCCCAGGUAAGUGGUUUUCUAACACUACAACAUAAACUCAGAGCUUGGACACUGCUUGAAAACUUUUGUUUUGCACUGACACAUUGACAACGACUUCUACAAAGAUCCGGAUCACUACUGUAAUUAGCACCUAUUAUUGUUAUGGCUGCAGAUGGGACAUUAAGGACAUGAUUUCCUAUUAAUUUACACCAGUAAAUGGUUAAGGCAUCAUUAUUAUUUGCUGGCAAAGGUCAGCAAAGAUGACUGCUUUGGGCAGAACAAAGUAUGAAAAAUAAGGGCCAUUUCAAAGAGAUAUUUUAGAUAAAUACUUUCCUUUAGAAUCUUCCCUCCAUAAUGCAUUUCUACUUUCAAUCAUGUGAAUAAUUUGCCAAAAGGUUCAAUUUGUUGUCAAAAAUAGCACUUAGCUGCUUUCAUACAUUUUAAUAUAUCUUCAUGAUGUAUUAAAUUAAUGAAUCACCUUGUGUGUACUGCUGGUUUUAACUCUGGUAAAGUUAAGCUUCAAGUUAAUAUUUGGGAGGUCUUGGGAAUCCUAUAAAGAAAUGUAGCUUCCUUCGGUGUUUGUAAAAAUGAAAAUUGUUGUUUCAAAUCGAACAUAAAGGAUUGGAUUUCAAACCAAAGAUAGUGUGGAGAAAUGAGACAGUCUUUUGCAAAAAGGACCCGAUAUCUGAGUGCUGCUUGUAAUUCUGUAAACUCAGAUAUUUCUUUUGCUCCCUUCAACAAAGUUAUUGAGUUCUCAGGGACUCAAAACAGGUGAAUGGAGACAUGUAAGUAGUUUGGUUUUUAAGAGAGAAUUUCGGAGUCUGUGUUCCCUAAGCCAUUCAGCCCUGCCUCAAGCCCAUUUCUCUUCCAGACACUGCCAUCCAAGCUGUGGAGCUCUCUUUUUGCAGCUUCCUCAGUAAUUCAGAGCAUGAAUACAGUAGCAAAGCACAGUAAAACACUUCAAGCCUGAAGUCCUCUACAGGCCAUUGAGUCUACAUGUCCAUUGCCAGGAACUUGGGGAAGUGUCUCCCAGAAUGUUCCAGUUCAUUUGCAAGUCAGCUGCUUUGCUGCCAUGUUUCCAAAUCCUUCCCAGUACACUGAAUCUUUCCAAGUAACGGGAGCUGGUUGCAUUACAUGGCAAGCAACUGCUAUGUACAAAAAAUUUCCAGAUCCUUUCUUCCAUGCAUGCCAUUUCUGUACCACGGUUACUAGUGCAAAACCAGAAGCCUGGGCAAUGAUGUGUUUUAAUGGGCAGAGUCUCAAAUGUGAAGUCAAGUUCAUGAUUCCUAUUUCAGAUGUACGGAACUGUUGAGUUUUAGGACAACACAAAAAAGACAGUUUCUUGGAGAAUGAUGCUUAUCUUUUGUGGAAAGACCAGUAUUCCAUGGAAUGAUUUCUGCCUUAGCAACCAGGUUGAAUCCACAGUCAUCCUGCUAAAUGUUGCUCUGCUGAGGUCUGAUCAAUUUGUAGAAAUGUAGCUCUAACUUCCAGCUAAUUGCUAUUUUAGUUGGUGCUUAUUAUUAUCACUAAACAUUUAUACUACAGUUCAUCAAGCUUUUUCAAUCACAGUUGACACGUUAGUCUACUAACAACUGUAUAGGUAGAUUGACUGAAGAAUUUAUCAUCUCAUAUAAAUAGCAAAUAUAGAGGCUACAACAAUCACAGUGUAUACUUGAUGUAUGUCUUUUACUUUUUGAGAGUAGGAUGAAUUUUUGAAAAUAGAAGGGUACACUGCUAUUCCUCUUUCUCUUGACCCAUACUAGAGCUUCUCUUUAGGGUAACCAGCCCUACAUUACCCUCUCAUCAACUUUGUAUCUCCUCAAGCCAAAAAAGCUGAGAGAGCUUUCUAGGUGAAGUGAACCUCUCAGGAGACAAGUGAGAGCUACAGAGUGCUAGUUGUAUGAACAACAGGGAUGGAGCUGAGAUUUUCUGGAAAAAAACUCAAACCACUAGAUCCAAAUGGUUGUGUCAAAAGCUGCUCUGUUUGCAUAUGGACAUGUUUUCCUGUCUUGCAAGUACCAGUGUGUUCUUGGCCCCCCUAAUUUCCUUUUCUAUUGCCUGAAUAGCAGAAAAAAUUAAAAUUCAUUGCUGCUACUACUUCCUGGAAACUCCAGGCAUCUUGUGGACCACUGCAAUUGUGCUGAUUUGCAAAUCCUGAAACCAGUACCUUAUAUCUUCUAACUCCCUUGGUUACCUACCCAUGUUCCCAUAGAACUUUGGUGAAAUUAUUAUUUCCUGACCUUCUAAUUAAUCCCUUUGGUGACAAUGUUGUAGGAAAAUGAGGAACAAAGCACAAAAAGAGGAUUAGAAAAGAGCCUGCCACUAAAAUAAUUGUUUCUAAGAGCAUAUAGUUGCAAUAUGUUUGAAGAGUCACAAAAAUCCAGAACAAUGUGGAACCCACCCAUCUGCCAAGACCUCUCUUUAUUUUCUAAUUUAUACACGAUUUCUUAUUUUAGAUGUUUCUUUCUGAAAAAGAAUUUUACCUUUUUAAGAUAAGUGCUUUUUUUAGCUUUGUACAUUUUUUUGGGCAAAGAUCUUGGAACUGGCAUCUGCCAACAGGAAAUCAGUUGUCAGAGGAAUUAUUAAUGACUGUGUACCAGAUACAUUUAAAAUCUUCAUUUGUGUUCUUGCAUGUAUUAUGGAUAUUCAGAAAUUUUGACUGAGUGACUUGCCUGGAGAACGUAACUGUUUUCAGCAAACAAUAAGAAAAGUUCUUGAAUACUUUCUGCUUAACUUUUUUCAUAACCAAGUAACUACUCAUGUAUUUCUUCCAUGAUUAACUAACUAGUUCAUUUGUGAAGAAAAGAUUUCUGAAACCAUUUGGAAUAGUGCCCUAUAGUGACUUUACUGCUGUAACAAUAAACCUGACUUCAGAAGUGAUAUUCCACACUUUUUCUAAGUCUUGCUUUCAUUUUUCAUUCUUCCUUUUGAUUCUUCAUUUAAAUAAUUUCCUUUGAAAAGCUGGAAGGCAUUUUGGAACAUCCUCUGCUAUUUGCCAAGCCCAGGUUAUGCCUACCAUGCAAUACGUGCUGCCAUUUCCAUUAAGCUUUAGAAAUGUCUGCUUUG